UAGCCAUAAAGGCUAUGCAUAUUUUUUUAGUUGUUGCAGGCUAGUCAUGUGGGCGAUAUUGACAACCCGUUUUAUAUUUUUUUAUUUGCCAACAUUGUAUGGCAGUUUGAUUUUUUUAUGAGCAGUUUCUCUAUGUAUGCUUGUUGAAUCAUUAUUUGGACCGCUUUAUCUUAAACGAAGUCAAUGCUUAACUGGGAGUUGCUUAUGUUUGUUAGUCAUCGAUCUCUUUAAUGAUGGGGUUGUUGCAUCGGAUUGAGAUUUUUCUUAUAUGAAUGAUGGUUUGAUAGAUCAUGUAUGUCUACUACUUUGAAUGCAUCCUGUGAUAUCACGAAGUACAAAUUGUUCAAGUGCAGUAAUAGUAGGUUUUGUUGUAUGUGAGGUUAAUCAAGGUAGUUUGGUUAUGUGGAUUGUCUUAUGGACGUCCAAUUACUCCUGUUGAGCAUAGUAUCGUGGUAUUAUUUUAGUAUUGAAAGUAAUAUUUAUGAAGCUUUUGCAUGAGUCUGUGUCAAGAAGUACAUUAGUUUUUCUUGUUAUCCCUCCAUUGCUUUAUGAGUAUUGCAAAUUUUAUCUCUUUUGAGAGGAGGAAAAGACGUUACAUGACAUGAGCACCAUUUGCUUCACGUCAACAGAAUAGUUGUGGAGAGCUCUAAUAGUUGGAUUCUAGUGUAAUAACAACCAUGUUUUAUAGUGCUAGAGACGGGUAUGUUAGGUGUUUCAUACAUUGUCGAUACAUGGAUGUUUGACCUUAGUGGCAUUAACAAAUGAGGUUGUUGAAUUCGUUGAUUGUGGUGCUUAGUGUUCUAACCUAUUAGGUAAAGUGUUGCUUAAAGGCUUUGGGGAGUUGCAUCCCCAUUUGGUAGUGGAAAAUCCUAAUGUUGGUCGCACCUGCCAAUGCCUUGGGUUUUAUUUUAUAUUGUUUUUUAUUAUGGGUAAGGUGUUGUUUUGUUUUGGGAGUCAUUUUAAAUUAGUUGGAGGCUGAAUCAGGCUUCACUUAUCUAGAAUGUUUUAUAGUAGGUUUCUUCAUCUUUGCAUAGGAUGCUCAAUCACCCAGUUUGGUCUAAACAUUUGAGAGUUAUGGGUUUCCUAUAGCAGCCUUAAUUUUGUACGGAAGUAUAGACAUUGAAUACGGUAAAUUUUGGGUUUUGUUGGAUUAUGAAAGUUUUAGUAAUUUCAUGAUCUUCCCAAAGAGUAUUGGUUUGUAAUUUUCAUUGCAUAUAAUUGGAGUUAGGCUACUCUGAAGUUGUUGCAUCGUUGUGUCUGAACUUUAGGUGUCGUUAAAACCACUAAUAAAUUGACCGCGUUUUGAUAGUUUCAGAGCCCAAAUUUGGGAAUUCUCUUUAAGAAAAACUUUUAGUUUUUCUUAGUACCUUUUAAUGGGUAUUUACUUGUAAUUGUCUGUUAAAUAGAUUGGGAGAGGUGGUUGUCCGGAUAUAAGUCGAAUCUCUGAUGUGCAGUAUCUCAGGCUGAGUUUAGCUGUAGGUCAUGCAGAGUUGAGGGCUAUAAAGAUAAAUUUGGGUGGAACUUUAUUGCAAAAGUCGUGGACAAUUUCCAAACUUUUCCAACGCGUGUUCGUUGUAGUUUUAAGUUGAGUAUAGCAGGAGUUAUAGUAUUUUGAAUUUUAGUUGUCCAUUGUUUCUAACCUAUCAGUUUUGCAACAAAGCAGUUGCAUUGUUUUAUCGGUUUGGAAACCAAUUCUGAGACACUCAUUAUAAUAAAAGUUUUAGGGAAUGUUAUAAUCUUUUCAAUGAGUUUAUAUUUGUAAAAUUUUGUUAGAUGCAGAGAGUUAUGAGGUUUUGAAUUUAUGGGUCAUGUUCCGUCAGGUUCUGGUGGCAGAUCAUGUAUGUCACCUUACAAGCCAAAUUAAAAAAAUGGAGAUAAAAAAAACUUUGUUUAUCCUAUGAAUACAAAAGUUGUAGGUCAUGAAGUUUAGAUGAUUUUACAAUAUUUCUUUGUUAUCAUUGCUUUUAUAGUGAAAGAGGUAGAGACAGAAUGAGCAUUUGUGCUGUUGAUUGUCAAUUUUCUAUUUAGGGAUAUUUCUUUGGGAGUUUGGUUUAGUUAUGGUGAGCUCUUUCGCAAUCCAUGUUAAUUAUGUUGUAUGGUGGGAGGGAAUAUAUGUAGUGGUUGUGAUAGUUAUCUUGUUAUUGUAUAUGUGGAGCAUGGGCUAAAACAGAGAGAUAGCGAGGGAUAUUUGAAUAGGCCAGUACGUAUUAUUGUGAAGCCAUGUUUUCUGGUCUUGGCGUGUUUGCGUAAGUAUGAAAUAGUUACGUCGUGUGAAGUCUAGGUGGAGAUGCAGAUUGUCUGAGUUAUUGGAUGGAUAUAUGGGCAGGCAUAGUAUACUUAAAUUGAUUCUUGCUUGCAUGAUGUGAGAUCAGGCUUAAAAUGAUUUAAAAAGUAAGCAUAUUGCUUCUACCCUUAUGUUGGCUCUAAGUGUCUCGUAAUGAAGAACCUAAAGUUAUUAGUCCUUCGAUGAACGCUUAAUCUUAGAAGAGUAUAGAACCUGAAUAAAUCUAUUGCUUGCUGUUUGGGACUACAUGACCAGUUUUGGUUAUGCCGCUAGUUCAAUGAAUUACACCAUGUUUUCGGUAGAGGUGUUGUAUAUAAAUAGUUGUAGCCAACUUCUUCAUCUUACUUGUGUAAAAUUUCAUGACCAUAGGUCUAGUAGUUUGGGAGUUAUGAUUUUUCUCAAGUCUAGUCUUGGAAUCUGUCCAGAUUCUGUACAGAUUUCGAAACUGACCUUGUUUGCCCAAGUUAAACUUCGAAUCAGUUCUUAUAAAUUAUAAAGAAGUGGUAGUACUUUCCUUAAGCUUUCCAACAAAUUUUGGAUCACCCUUUUUGGUGACCUAUAAGUUAAGCUACAUCUGUUUUAAUUGGAAUCUUUGAAUCUGUCCAAAUUUGGACAGCAAAGCCUUUCUUAUGUCUUUUGAUCUUGAUAUGCAUUGAAUUAACCUGAUAGAUUUAUAAAUGAAAUAUAGACAAUGUUACUGGCUUUCUAAAAAGUCUAGGAGCGCCUGAAUGGGAUGACUGAGACUCCAAUUAUGGAUUUUUGAAGUGAGUAGUUGAAUUCUGUUCAAGUCUGGACAAAUUUACGUUUCGCAUUGUUUGGCCUUUCUAAGUGUCAAAUCUUGUGGUGAUGAUAAUACCAAGGGUAUAGUGGACUUUGUAAGCUUUCCAUAAAGUCCUAGUUUACUUCUAUUGGAUGAAUAUUUUGUGAGUUAUGAGGAAAACAAAUAAUUGUUGUGCUGCUGUCUAGAAAUAUGCAAGCAUUAAAUUGAUCUUUUGAAGUUACUCUUGUUUGGAUAGGUUUGGUUUAGGCUAUUUGAGCACAGUAUGUAUUGCAUUCAUAUAUAUAUAUAUUUAUUGAAGUACUUGCAUGUGUCAAUGUUGAUUUGGUGUUAGGAAAGCUUUGUCCGAGUUAUAUAGGACCGUCUACUAUCUUAGCCCGAGUUGCCAGCUUGGCUUAGCACCUACAAUUGUCGGAGUCUAUGAUCAGAGUACACCAUAUAUUCCAUGUCUUUAUGUUGAGGAAGUAUUUGCGGAAUCCAGACCAUCAAAUCGAGCUAGAGCCGAUUCCUGUGUAGCAAGACCAGACUCUAGAGUGUCGUCUGCUGCGUAUCUUAGAAUCCUAGGAGCUUGAGGAGCUGAUGCGGCAGAAGUACCCGAACCUUUCUUUAUGUGCCCCCCCCCCCUAAACCCUAGCCGCCCCCUCCCUCUCACUCCCCCACCCCUUUGGCCGCCCCUCCCCUCUCUCCCCCCCCCACCUCUUCCUCUCCAAGGUGGAGCCUCCCCGCUUGGUGUCCGUCGUGUGGGUGCGAGUCUUCCAUGGGAGUUUGGAGGGAGGAAGAAGGAAGAAAAGAAGACAGGUGGUGGACUUCUGGAUCGUACUUAGGGAUUUGCCCGAACUUCCGGUAAAGGUACUUGAUACAUGUUGGGAAUGAGGGGAGUAGCAGCACGUCCACUUUCACUCUCACAAUAACGCUGCCCAGGCGUAGCCAUGAUUUAAUUAGAAACUUAUUGUCAAAGGAAGUUUGUUUUUUUAACUAGUCGUGCGCACUAGUUAAUUCA
rnacentral:lncRNA from 7 species